rnacentral:rRNA from 1 species
AGGCAGCAGUGGGGAAUAUUGCACAAUGGGCGCAAGCCUGAUGCAGCCAUGCCGCGUGUAUGAAGAAGGCCUUCGGGUGUAAAGUACUUUCAGCAGUGAGGAAGGUGGGUAUGUUAAUAGCAUACUCAUUUGACGUUAGCUGCAGAAGAAGCACCGGCUAACUCCGUGCCAGCAGCCGCGGUAAUACGGAGGGUGCGAGCGUUAAUCGGAAUUACUGGGCGUAAAGCGCAUGCAGGUGGUUUGUUAAGUCAGAUGUGAAAGCCCGGGGCUCAACCUCGGAAUUGCAUUUGAAACUGGCAAACUAGAGUACUGUAGAGGGGGGUAGAAUUUUCAGGUGUAGCGGUGAAAUGCGUAGAGAUCUGAAGGAAUACCGGUGGCGAAGGCGGCCCCCUGGACAGAUACUGACACUCAGAUGCGAAAGCGUGGGGAGCAAACAGGAUUAGAUACCCUGGUAG